rnacentral:rRNA from 1 species
UCCGGGAAACUGGAAUUAAUACCGCAUACGCCCUACGGGGGAAAGAUUUAUCGGGGAAGGAUUGGCCCGCGUUGGAUUAGCUAGUUGGUGGGGUAAAGGCCUACCAAGGCGACGAUCCAUAGCUGGUCUGAGAGGAUGAUCAGCCACAUUGGGACUGAGACACGGCCCAAACUCCUACGGGAGGCAGCAGUGGGGAAUAUUGGACAAUGGGCGCAAGCCUGAUCCAGCCAUGCCGCGUGAGUGAUGAAGGCCUUAGGGUUGUAAAGCUCUUUCACCGGAGAAGAUAAUGACGGUAUCCGGAGAAGAAGCCCCGGCUAACUUCGUGCCAGCAGCCGCGGUAAUACGAAGGGGGCUAGCGUUGUUCGGAAUUACUGGGCGUAAAGCGCACGUAGGCGGAUAUUUAAGUCAGGGGUGAAAUCCCAGAGCUCAACUCUGGAACUGCCUUUGAUACUGGGUAUCUUGAGUAUGGAAGAGGUAAGUGGAAUUCCGAGUGUAGAGGUGAAAUUCGUAGAUAUUCGGAGGAACACCAGUGGCGAAGGCGGCUUACUGGUCCAUUACUGACGCUGAGGUGCGAAAGCGUGCGGAGCAAACAGGAUUAGAUACCCUGGUAGUCCACGCCGUAAACGAUGAAUGUUAGCCCGUCGGGCAGUAUACUGUUCGGUGGCGCACCUAAGGCAUUAAACAUUCCGCCUGGGGAGUACGGUCGCACAAUAAAACUCCACGGACUGACGGGGCCCGCCCACCGGUGGACAUGAGGUUUAUUCGAAGCACGCG